ACAAAAUCUUUUGAAAUACGGAUCAACCAAGUGGUUGGGGGAAGAUGGUUCUUGGGUUGAGAUGUUUCAGAUUCUGAAUACAAAAUUAAAGUGGAUCAUCUCUUGCCCCAUCCUUUCAAGGUUCAAGACCUUUAAAAUUGACUCAUCCUAAAUUUAAGCACUUCUGGACAAAAUAACAGGUUUUUUACUAAGAUGUCAUCUUCAAGUCCCUCAUGCUCUAGGUCUAGCCCACCAUAUUUUCCAAUGAGAUUUGGAAACUGAUUUUCCG